UAGGGAAUCUUCCACAAUGGACGCAAGUCUGAUGGAGCAACGCCGCGUGAGUGAAGAAGGUUUUCGGAUCGUAAAGCUCUGUUGUUGGUGAAGAAGGAUAGAGGCAGUAACUGGUCUUUAUUUGACGGUAAUCAACCAGAAAGUCACGGCUAACUACGUGCCAGCAGCCGCGGUAAUACGUAGGUGGCAAGCGUUGUCCGGAUUUAUUGGGCGUAAAGCGAGCGCAGGCGGAAUGAUAAGUCUGAUGUGAAAGCCCACGGCUCAACCGUGGAACUGCAUCGGAAACUGUCAUUCUUGAGUGCAGAAGAGGAGAGUGGAAUUCCAUGUGUAGCGGUGGAAUGCGUAGAUAUAUGGAAGAACACCAGUGGCGAAGGCGGCUCUCUGGUCUGCAACUGACGCUGAGGCUCGAAAGCAUGGGUAGCGAGCAGG
rnacentral:rRNA from 1 species